rnacentral:rRNA from 1 species
GCGAAGUUAAGCACGGUAUCGACUAGUUAGUACUGCGGUGGGGGACCACGCGGGAAUCCUGGUUGCUGCAGUUC